rnacentral:lncRNA from 1 species
GAGGCGCCGGAGCGGUUGGCCUGCUGGCCUCGCUGCUUGGCGAUUGGCCGCCCGAGGCCCGGCUCUGCCAUUUCGGGGCUUUCGGUGUGAUCUCAGGGCCGGCGACUUCUCGGGCUGGCCCGCUCUGGAGCCACAUCCUUGCAGGGCGUAGUGGUACACACCGGUCGUCCCACAACUCGGGACAUUUAGGUUUGAACUCUUUCCUUUGGACUGAAAUGGCUGCAACCCGACUUCCAGUGGGAAACCUGUAAAGGCAUCCUGCGGCCUGCCUCCCAUCUGUAGGGCUGGUACCUGGUCCGGUCUGAGGCUGCACUGCUGCUGCUGCUGCUGCUGGACUCAGAGUCUGAGCUGCUUCGGGGAAGGUUGCAGUCAUUACGGUACACCAAGAAACUCUUCUUCACUGGCUGGUUCCCACUGCUGAAGCCAUUGGCUGGAGAUCUUCAGUAGAUACCAGACCUAUUUACUUCUAAAUCCCCAGUUCCUAGCAUGCAUUGGACUCCCAAGCCUGGGCAAAUACUAUGAAACCUGUUGAAUAGCUGAAUGAGAAGACCACCAACUUAGGAGUUGAGGAAGAUGAGAUUAAGCAUUAAAAGUUGCUUAUUGU